CCAAUCUAUGUAUGUAGCCUGAAAUAAAAAUCAGCUGUUUGGAAUACAGAUUUUUUUAUGUCCUUUCCAUUAUUAGGUUGCUCCUCGUGUUACCCCUGGUGGGGCGAAGGCAGAAUGUUUACACUACCUUUACUGCCAAGUACUUUGUUAGAGACUUCCACAAACUCCCUCUCGAUGCAGGAGGAAUGGGCUGAUGCCUUCAGGACUACCUCCUAAUGCAUCUGGCUGUAGACUUGCCUCAAGAACCCAAUGAAUCGUGAGCUGCUGUUACAUAUUGGAUCCACCAUACGAUUUUAUUCAAGUCCUUCAGGGAGGGGAGACUCAGUGAAUACCAGUUGUGGAAGACCACCUGAAUGGCUGCCUUGUCCUCCAUCAUAAUGAUAUAGAACCUCAGUUCAGUGUCCUGCACAGACUUGCUGAGGAGCCAUUAUUUUCUGUCAUCCAGAUUGCCGGUGAAGACUGGCCAUAGUGUUGUCACUUGAAGAAUGCCAUCUGUUAAUACCAGUUGAAUGUCUCAUUCAUUAUUAUCCUUCAAGCCUUAUAGGAUAGCUGAGAGCUUUUUUUCAGCCAGGUUGUUGUGCAUCCAUUCAGUCAAUGCCAUCCUAGAUUGGCCCAUAUGGAAGACAGUGCCAAAGACCAUGCUAGAACAAAAUAAGAGACAUCCACUGCUUCCCCCACCUUGUCCACUGAGCACAUCAUUCCAGUGCAGGUGAUAGCCACACCAGUCAGGUACAAUUUGUCUCUCUGAGAUACAUACUGACUGUUACUAGCUACCUUCUUGUAUCUAGACAUGGCUCCUUUGUGGAUUUGCUCCAUAACAUUUCCAGGAAAAAUGUGUGGAUAUCUUAUGUAACACGUUUUCAUCUCUGCUUUGGCUAAUCCCUUUCAGAGUAAGUGGGUUGAUUACGUGUGUUGAAUUUGUGAGACUUUCAGCAUGAGCCUGUGCUGUUGGUUGAAGAAAUUUUUGUUAGGGAGUUGCUGAGCAGGCCAAACCCAGAAGCAACCUAAGCAGGACACUCCUAUUUUCCCUCUCUUGGGACUCCCUUUCUUCCCAGCCCCACCACCAAUGACAAUUUCCUGCCAUUGUUGCUGUAGUUUUUGUGUUACUUCAGAGCAGGAGCCCUAUAAGGAAGAGAUGGGAAGAGCAGGGGAAUGAGGCUACCAGACCCCUGGACAGUACAGUAGGGUGUGCCAGGUCCUGGCCCUGGCAAAGAUUCAAAUAGCUGGAGAAAAAGGGAAUCAUAAGCAGGAAGAAAGGGUAAGGUCAGCUGCAUGGGAUGUUAGGGAUAGGCAUGGUCCUUUCUAGAGAGCACGAGUAGUUCAGUCAACAGAAAGGGCCAGGCAUUUGCCAAAAACCACAUUUGCACAAUGGCCUAGAGUGGUUUGAAUUCAGAGACAACAGCUGGGUUUCACGAGUUAUAACUUUGGUUCACAGGUAUCUGUGGUCAAGACUGAGGUCAGUGGUGCUGUUAGAGAAGGUAAGAAAGAAUGGCUGAAAAGCCACCAGGCCUGACUGUGGAACCCAAGCAGAACAAAUACUAGUGUGCCAAGCUGGCUUGCAUCUGGGUGGCUUGAGACGUGUUCCUGCCAUAGGGGCCCGGCUGCAGCCACAGCACCUGCUCCCAGCCAGGGCAGGUCUGUGACAGCCCCUGAAUCGCCCUUUGCUGUGGAAAACAAAACUCCUGGACACUGCUCAGUACAGUGAUGGGCCAGCCUCACAGGUGGGGACUCAUGGGGCCUUCACAACCAGAAAGACUCAGCAGACACAUCCUUUGUGACUGAAAGUGGACCAUGGCAUUGCACUUGAGGAAAGAGGCAGCCCAGCAGUGGCUGGUGAUGACUCUGUAGGAACACUCAGGCAGGCAGCAUCGGGCAUGUCUUGCUAAUUGGAAGAAACACACAUCAUUCUGUCAUCAUUUGUCGUAUCCAUGCUAAUGUGAUGGUAAUUCUGUGAUAGACUUACACCUGUAAUCUCCUUACUAGCACAUUAGAAGACUUCUGCUUCUAAAAGAAGCAGAAAAGCAAAAAGGAUGUUAGUGUAGUGACAGUGUUGCUGGGAGCCAUGUGCAUUGACAAUGAAGGAGACACAGCUUAGAUUCCCCUGCAUGGCAGGCUGGGGACUCCAGGGUCCCAAGGCAAGUGAGAGCACCUGCGCACUGCAGUCCUCCUGCAUUAGUGAAACCUGAUUUGCUGGGUCACCCUCCUGGAGUGACACAAUAUCAUUUCGAGUUGUUUGCUUAUUACAGAGAUACAAUCAAAAGGUGUGGUGCCCUGAUUGGAGUCUAGCAAGAAAGUAACACUCUUAUUCACCCACCCACCCACCCACCUUUGGCAUAUGGUCUGAGGGUCUCUCCUUUGCUUCAUGACAGAAAGUGGUUGAUUCAUCCCCACCCAGCAGUAAUUAUGUGUUGCUGCCUACUGGAAGUUCCCAUGUUGGCAUCAGAGUGCUAAGCCUAGAACUCACUGCUAAGAUUAAUUGCAAAGUAAAAGCGUGAUUUCUUGAUGUCUGUGUUAUAUUCAGUUACUUAACACUCGGUAUCAUU